GUUUAGUUUUUUCCCUCUAAUUCUUGCGAGCUAGGCAGUUUUGAGUUGGGAAAGGCGUAUUUAUAAGAAUUUGACUCCUUCCACAUUCUAAGGCUUGCAGUGGUGUAGGGUGUUUGGGGAGAUCUGUCUGGGCAGAGGGAUUAAACGAAAUGUCGGGCAAAAGCACUGUUAAGAGAACUCUGAGGAAGCGCUUCCAUCCUUAAGACGGAGUUAAAAAUGCUUUGGAAAACCGCGGUUGCUCUCGCGGAAAGCAGGCGAAGCGCCGAGAGAUCGAUUGCCAUAGCAAACAGAUCGAAAAUUAGAGCUAAGAUCCCGUGUGACACAAGCAAACAAAUAAACAAACAAACAAAACCAGUAAAAAAUAGAUGAAUAGCAAUGAAAGGAAAAUAAAGAGAGAGAGAAGGGACGCGUAAAGCUGCUGGUAACAGAGGGUGAGUGCGAUGCCGGGGGGGAGCUCCGGGGCGCGCAGCAGGCGGGGGCUGCUUAACAGGGGGCGGGCAGGGGGCAGGCAGCGCCGCGGGGCGGGGGGCAAGGUGCCAGGCAGCCCCCCCGCCGCCGCCGCCCUCAGGUGCCAGCGCCCGCGGGCUGCUCCCCGCCCGGGAAGCAGGGUCUGGGGGCAGCCGACCCCAGGCGGUGCCGCCGGGACCCCGCUAGGCUCCCCCCACGCUGCUCUCGCAGGAGCCUGGAGCCCGCAGCGGGGGCUCGCCCGCCUCUCGGCCCCGCGUGUGUGUGUGCGUGGGAGCGUCCUCCGUGUGUGCGUGUGUGCCGGGGGCUGCUCUGUCCGUGCGCGGUUGCUGCUUGAAGGCAUCCCGGCAGCACUGUCCCCGGUGUCCCCACGAGCCGCUGGCCAGGCAGAGGGCUCCACGGGGAGGCUCCGAAAUGCAGUCAGGUCUGCAAUCAGCGCCCGCGAAGAAGCGACGCCUGGAGCUGGAGGAACUCCGGGGCCACUUUGGGCUCCCCAUUCCCGUCCCCUCCCGGAGCCCGGUGGCUGGGUCGGGGUGCGUGGCAGGCCCAGGGACACGGGGCAUUUUGCUGCCUGACGCCCAGGAAAGCUGGCGAUGCUUUUCUGCUCUGCCUGCUCUCCUCCUGCCGCCCGGAGAGCAGGAGAGCCAGAAAUAAUGCUAACGCGCCUUGGGCUGGGGUGCCCAAACGAGCGAGGGAGAAGUCCUGCUAAAAUGGAGGGAAAGUAGUGGCUGUUUUUUACAACCCAAGUGUAUAAUCGGAUUUUUUUUUCUCUCCUGAUAGAAAGCAGAUAAAUUUAUGAAGGGAGAGCUAAGAGAAUAAUUACAGGGUGAAGGUAGUUAAAUUUUAUUUCGAGUCCCAAAGGCAAAACCUGACAUUUUAUUGCAAACAUCUGGAAGGCUUAAGAGACUGGCAUGGUGUUUGUUUAAACACUAAUAGAGAUUUUUAUUCUGUAAAACACAAACAAAGCCCAUUUAAAAACACUCGAGACUGUAAAUAUUUUGCGGUGGUUCAAUUCUCCAAGCCUGAGAAAACCGGGGAAACGGGAGGGGAGGGGAACGAAUCGACGGCGUAAUGGGGGUAUAAUUAUGAAUUAGUUAAUAAUACGCAACAAUACCGUUUGUGUAGACCAUAAAAAUAAAUUGCAGGCGCAUUUUUUUUUUUCGCAGUCGCAGUAAAUGACCCCGCGCAGCCCGGGAACAUCACCUCGCUCGCGUUUCCAGGCGGCCACUCUGUUCGCCUUAAACUCGCCUCUUACGAGAGAGCCAGCCCCGAAAUCCUCCGGUCCGUUUUAAAAGGACGAUCGGCGUUGCGUUAAAGUCCAGUAAAUCACUCGCUCGCGUUAUCAGACAGCCUUCAGCCCGCACCCGCUGACUAGUUUUAACAUUGUUUUCAAUUACUAACUUAAAAAAAAAAAAAAAUCCCCUAGAUCUGGCUAAAGGACCUUCGAUAACGUUUCCCUUGUUGUGCGGCAGGGCUUGAAACUGGCUCCGCUCAGGCUCUGCGAGCAGAACAUCUGGACAGCACUCCCACCCCGCAGCCGGCUCCCCUUAUUUCUCUCUUUUGCAAAUAUUUCCAUACAUAAACAAAUAUUUUCAGGCUCGCUCGGCGACAACCGGCAAGCAGGAGUGAAUGAUUUCUUUAUAAACCCCAGGGCCUGGCCCUGCGACCCUUGCUCCCGCCACUUUAUUCCAGGGAGCAGUUUCCUGGAUUUAAUGGGAGCUACCCCUGCGAGUGCGGGUCUGGAAGAAAGGCCAGGCAAAGGGGGUGCUUUCUUCUCCAGGGGUCAGAGCGGGAUCUGAGCGUCGCGGCUGAGCCCGGGCCGGCUCCAGGCCGACCCCAGAUUUCCAGCGGGGGGUCACGGGAAGAAAUGUCCUGCGAGGGGGCAGCCCCGUCCCUUCCCCGGGCGCAUCUCGCCGCUGCCCUUCGCCCCGCCGGCACCGGCAGCGGGCGGGCGAGCCCUGGGGCUGCGGCGGGGAGGGAGAGGCUCGCCCCCGGCCGCCGCUGCCGGGACCGUGGGGAGCUGCCCUCCAGCCCCCGGCAAAGGGAUCUGCUCCCUGGGGCCUGGCCGGUCAGGGGGCGUGUUGGCACGGGAGCUCGGUCGCGUUUCUGCUGCGAAGCCUCCGUCCGUUCCUCCGUCCCGGCUGGGCGGACAGACGGACGGACGGCAGCGCCCGGCGGUAAGAGACUGCGAAAAGGGCUCGGGGCUGCUUUAAACCGGCGACCCGUAAAACCACACUUAAACCCGGGCAAAUUGUCUUUCUGAGCUCAUACAUCAGCCCCCGAAUUUCGUUUAAAUCGCCCUGCCUUUCCAACACCAUUUCCUCUCGCUAAAACGCUAUAAAUAAUCCUCUGUUUUCUUGGGCUCCCUUUCUAAAUUCUCCCUCCAGCCUCUAUAAAAGCCUCCCUCGCCGCCCGUCUCCCAGGCGGGUGUUUCCGAGGCUUUCGGAAAUAGAGAAACGGGUUUUUGUUUGGGAGACACUCCUUCGCCGUGGGACACGCAGCCGAGGGACCGGGGCGAAAGCCGUGCGCCCUUCCCCGUCUCCCCGCUCCUCGGCCGGUCCCGGAGCCCGCUUUAAAACGCGGGCUCCUUCCAAGUGCCUUUCUCUUUCGUUCCCCUCUCCCCCGGCUCUCCGGGCUCCCCUCGGCCCUGCUGGGGGGCACCCCCGUGCCGGGGGGGCGCCGUGCCCUGCGCCGAGCCCUCUGCGAGCGACCUGUCAAAGGCGAUGCUCCGGAGGGGAGGGGAAAGGAGCGGCGGGGGUGGGGGGGAACGGGGGGAGUGUAGGGCGGGUGAUGGGGACGCACAAAACCUGCUCCUCGGCCUAGAUAACGACGCUCAGCUUUCUCGGGAUUUCCCGAAGAAAUCGCUCCUUUCUCGCCGCAAAAUCUCUCGCCCCGGCAGGCUGGGGCCGUGCCUGCGCCACCCCUCGCUUUAGGCCGGGGGGGACGUCCGAGCGGCUCUGCAGCACCCCGCAAAUGCAGUGGGGAGGCUGGGGUAAACGAACUGAUCCCCCACAUGCCCCCUUCCCUCCUGUCCCUCCUCUAUGCCCCCGCGCCUCCGGGGAGCAUUUGGGAGCCACCGACACGAAAUAAUCUCUUCCUCAGUCUGCCGUGCGCUCUCUCCCGCUUUUCCAGAGUCGCUCGAUCCAUACUAAUUCCGCCCCUUGCUAUAUCAUUAUUUAUUGUUUAUUUUGAACCUCUCUCUACUCGAUUCUCGGGGUCGAUUUAACUCCCGGCGGCUUUCCCCACUACGUUUUCCCUGGACGGUGUUUUGCUUGGCUUCACGUAUUUUUUGGUGGUCCGAUCGCGGUGCUUCCUUCCCCUUUCCAAAUGCAGCCCCGGUUUUCCUUUUCACCGCGAUCCCCCAGUGCCCCGCACGACCCAGGGGUGUGUGAGCAGCCCGAAGGGUUUGGGGGCAGAGCGAACAGAGGGAGCCGAAAUGAAAUGUUGGAUACCAUCCAGGCAGCUGCCCUGGAUCUGUACCUAGAGGAUUUGUUCUCUCUGGAGCUGAAGUGGCAAAAAGAAACGGAGAAAUAAAUAAAUAAAUAAGUAAAAGACCACGACCACUCCUUCCAAAGGCUCCCCGUGCCGGUGGUGCCGGGUCUGGGUGUCUGCCCCCCCGCAGCCCGGCCACGCACCGUGCUGAAGUUUCGCUUCAACACACGCAAAAGUCCCCGCUGCUGGGCCAAACACCGGCUAGCUCUCGGAAAACACAGCACGAAUGACGCUUUAAAAACACCCCCAGGUUUUCAAGCCCCUUUCGAGUAUUUUUUGUUUGUUUGUUGUUUGUUUGUUUUUAUAUACGUAUAUAAUUUGAGGGGGGUUGGUUACCAGAAGUCCCUAGGAAACGUGGGUGCGGCGGAGAGAAGCGCCGGAGCUGUUCCCUCGCUGCGUUUAGGGCUAUGUGCUUCCUAACAGCUCCCCGCUCUUCAAAGAGUUAAUUCUCCCGGCCGGUGCUCCAGGACUCAGAUGGCCAAAAUUCCUAGCCCCGAAGCCCGAGUCUCCCUCCCUUCCCCAUUGGGUUGCAGCUUUUGGGUUUCUCCCGAUCUCUCUCUCCGAUUGGCCGGGGACAUUUUUUUUAUUUUUUUUUUUCCUUGACAGGCGCACGCAGCCUGCCCAACUCUCGGAGGAAAAAAAAAAAAAAAAGAAAGAAAAAAAAAAACACAGAAGUUUGGAUCAAUCAGAGAGAGANNNNNNNNNNAAAAAGGGAAGAAGGAAAAAAAAAAAAAAAAAAAAAAAAAAAAAAAAAAGAUGAAAUCCAGCCUGCAGCCCCUCUGAGCAAGUGCUGGGGACCUGGGCUGUGCACACCCUCCCGGCUCUGCCUACGGAGUAUCUGCAGCCUCAUGUAGUUCCUUCAGGAGACUGAGGGCUGGUUCUUCUUGGGGGUGCAGCUGGGGAGGGGUGGGGGGAGAAAGAGGCGAGAGGCUCUGCCUCUGGUCCCCGAGCUCUGCGCUCCCAGCCACUGGUUGCUCAUCUGCCCAAG
rnacentral:lncRNA from 1 species